UCAAUGAAACCAUAGGUACAAACAAUGAUUGUCUUUAGAGAAGUACUCCACCACUAAAGACAAUCAUUUUUUAUAUUUACAAUUUACAAGUUAUUCAUUUAAUGUUUUAUAUUCUUAAUAUUGUAUGCUCAUUCCUCUUUUAUACAACAAAUAUAUUAUUAUUCAACUUUAUGUUGGUAUCAGAGCCUGUUUAAUUCACGAACCUGUGGGUUAUUGAUGCCAUCUUUUCCUUGCUUGUAGUGAACUGGAGUUGCUUUUAAUGCCUAGAAAUUCUUGAGAUAAUCCUCUGGUUCAGUGGCCAACUCUUUCUACUCGCAAGCAAGUUGGCGAGCUCAAUUGAGUAAUAAUGGUUCAAACCCUUCCUUGUUUAGAGCAGUCUAUAAUGCAUCUGGAUGGCCAUAGCCUUGGGUUAUCGAAGCUUUGCCCAGUAUACUUCAAAAGAUGACCGGGAAGACAAAUAUAUGGCCACUCUGAUUUGCUUAAUGAGUUGAUCAAACCCGCUUUUAGGGCCGAUCCUGAUCUCAAACCUAAAUUGAAUAAUAUCAUCAUACAACAACUUAACGAUGCUGCUGGUGAUUUUUCUGGACUUGCUUUAAAAUGCCUUUCUCCGUUAGUGAGGAAGAUGAAUGAGUCAAGGGUUGUCGAAAUGUGCAGUCAACUGUGUGACAAAAUACUAAGCAGGACACUGGGACACUGCUGCUAGCAUUGCUUUGAGGACAGUUGUUGCUGAAGUUUCUACCCAAUCCCUUGCGCAUUCUAUUCUCACCACAAUUGAUAAAAGGAAUUACCGGCAAAGAUAUGAGCACUGAGAUUAAAUGUAAAUGCCUGGAUAUUUUAUGUGAUGCCCUUCAGAUGAUUAGCUCAUUGUUCUCGAGGGACUUCAUUCUUCUCGAAGAACCAUUCGGCCACAGCGAUCCAGCCAACAGGGUCGGUUCCCAUGAAAUUUGGUAAUUGCUUCUUCAUAGUCCAAACGUCCUCCAUCACUGGCUCCUCGCUGGUUCGAAUCCGGUAGGUCGGACCAAUUAAUAGUGCUGCCCUCCCCUCAAGUAUAGGAGGAAUUCAAACAGUUUUAAUUAAAGUUGCAUGUGCCAAUUCUUGUUUCCAUUCAUCAGUUUGUGCUAUUAGGAAGCAAAGGUAAGAAGAAAAACUCAUCUUUUAUUUCCCUCUGUUUGGCUGAACCCUUAACCCCUUCAUAAAUUCAAUCAUUAUUAUUAUUUUGGCACUUAAUUGCAUGUGAGGUUUUGUGGAGAAAGAAGCACCGAAUAAUUAUUCUGGAGCUGCAAAUCAAGGAACAUGAGUUAGUAGAAGGGUUGGAAUUUUGGAUCAAGUAUGGUAAUUGGCAUCUUUGUUGCAUUUCAUAUGAGAUAAACAAGUCGAUCAAGAUAAGGGUAAGAACUAAGAAGUAAGUUGGCGAACGGAGUUGUGCACGUGUUCUUUGACGGACUCCUAUUAGUUUAUUUUCUUCCUUAUUUUGUAUAGAUUGAACUAUUUGAAUUAUGUAGCGAUUAUUUCCGCUGUUUGUAUUUGAAUAAUUGUUGGUGAUAGUGUACCAUGCAAAUUCAGACGAA